AUGAGGUGUGGAUAGCGGAGAAAUUCCAAUCGAACUCGGAUAUAGCUGGUUCUCCCCGAAAUAGCUUUAGGGCUAGCGUCGAGGAUGAGUCUUGUGGAGGUAGAGCACUGAAUGUACGAUGGCCCCAUCCCGGGGUACUGAGUAUAAUCAAACUCCGAAUGCCAUGAGAUAUUCCCGGCAGUCAGACCGUGGGUGAUAAGGUCCAUGGUCAAAAGGGAAACAGCCCAGACCGCCAGUUAAGGUCCCAAAAUGUAUGCUAAGUGGAAAAGGAUGUGGGGAUGCACAGACAACUAGGAGGUUGGCUCAGAAGCAGCCAUCCUUCAAAGAGUGCGUAACAGCUCACUAGUCGAGUGACCCUGCGCCGAAAAUGUACCGGGGCUAAGCAUACUACCGAAGCUGCGGAUUUGUAGUAAUACAAGUGGUAGGGGAGCGUUCCAUGCACGUGGAAGCCAUACCGAAAGGAGUGGUGGAGAGCAUGGAAGUGAGAAUGCCGGUGUGAGUAGCGAGAUGCAGGUGAGAAUCCUGCACACCGAUAGCCCAAGGAUUCCAGGGGAAGGUUCGUCCGCCCUGGGUAAGUCGGGACCUAAGGCGAGGCCGAAAGGCGUAGUCGAUGGAAAACAGGCAGAUAUUCCUGUACCCGCGAUGGAAAUGAAGGAAUGACGGAGAAGGCUAGCAUGAGCCACUUAUUGGAUUGUGGUCGAAGCGAAUAGCAGGUGCAUAGUCAAAUGCGUGCACGGGAUGUAAAACGUGACAGGUAAGCGAAACCCCUGGGGAGUAGCGAAGCAUGCGAGGCCAGCUUCCAGGAAAAGUUUCUAGUGCUGAUUCCAUAGCGGCCCGUACCAAAACCGACACAGGUGGGCAAGGAGAGUAUCCUGAGGUGAGCGAGAGAACUGUUGCCAAGGAACUCGGCAAAAUGACUCCGUAAGUUAGCGAGAAGGAGUGCUUAUGAAAGUAAGCCGCAGUGAAGAGGCCCAAGCGACUGUUUAACUAAAACACAGCUCUCUGCGAAGUCGCAAGACGAAGUAUAGGGGGUGACGCCUGCCCGGUGCUGGAAGGUUAAGAGGAUUUGUCAGUUUCGACGAAGCAAUGAAUUGAAGCCCCAGUGAACGGCGGCCGUAACUAUAACGGUCCUAAGGUAGCGAAAUUCCUUGUCAGGUAAGUUCUGACCCGCACGAAAGGCGUAACGAUUUGGGCGCUGUCUCGGCAGCAGACUCGGUGAAAUCUUAGUACCUGUGAAAAUGCAGGUUACCCGCAACUAGACGGAAAGACCCCAUGGAGCUUUACUGCAGCCUGAUAUUGGAUUUUGAUCAGAGAUGUACAGGAUAGGUGGGAGACGAAGAAGGAUGCACGCCAGUGUAUCUGGAGUCGACGUUGGGAUACCACUCUUGUCUGAUUGGAGUUCUAACCUGCGUCCAUGAAGCUGGACGGGGGACCGUGUCAGGCAGGCAGUUUGACUGGGGCGGUCGCCUCCCAAAGAGUAACGGAGGCGCCCAAAGGUACGCUCAGAUUGGACGGAAAUCAAUCGGCGAGUGCAAAUGCAGAAGCGUGCUUGACUGUGAGACAAACAGGUCGAACAGGGACGAAAGUCGGGAUUAGUGAUCCGGCGGUGCCGAAUGGAAGGGCCGUCGCUCAACGGAUAAAAGCUACCCUGGGGAUAACAGGCUGAUCUCGCCCAAGAGUUCACAUCGACGGCGAGGUUUGGCACCUCGAUGUCGGCUCAUCGCAUCCUGGAGCUGAAUUCGGUUCCAAGGGUUGGGCUGUCCGCCCAUUAAAGCGGUACGCGAGCUGGGUUCAGAACGUCGUGAGACAGUUCGGUCCCUAUCUGUUGUGGGCGUAGGAGAUUUGAGGAGAGCUGUCCUUAGUACGAGAGGACCGGGAUGGACCUACCGCUGGUGCACCGGUUGUUGUGCCAACAGCAUAGCCGGGUAGCUAAGUAGGGAAGGGAUAAGCGCUGAAAGCAUCUAAGCGCGAAGCCUACUCCAAGAUGAGAUCUCCCAUACGCAAGUAGUAAGACCCCUUGAAGACGACGAGGUAGAUAGGUCAGGGAUGGAAGCGCAGCGAUGCGUGGAGUUGACUGAUACUAAUAGGUCGAGGACUUAAUC
rnacentral:rRNA from 1 species